AGGAUGAGUGAUCAUAACUGUCAGUAUAUUAGACUCAGAUAAUGAAUAAAAUAUAUCUGAAGCUCUUUGGUCCAA